rnacentral:rRNA from 29 species
AGAAUGACUCUCGGCAACGGAUAUCUAGGCUCUUGCAUCGAUGAAGAACGUAGCGAAAUGCGAUACUUGGUGUGAAUUGCAGAAUCCCGUGAACCAUCGAGUCUUUGAACGCAAGUUGCGCCUGAAGCCAUUAGGCUGAGGGCACGUCUGCCUGGGCGUCACAU